GUAGGUGGCAAGCGUUGUCCGGAAUUAUUGGGCGUAAAGCGCGCGCAGGCGGUUCUUUAAGUCUGAUGUGAAAGCCCACGGCUCAACCGUGGAGGGUCAUUGGAAACUGGAGAACUUGAGUACAGAAGAGGAAAGCGGAAUUCCACGUGUAGCGGUGAAAUGCGUAGAGAUGUGGAGGAACACCAGUGGCGAAGGCGGCUUUCUGGUCUGUAACUGACGCUGAGGCGCGAAAGCGUGGGGAGCAAACAGGGAUUAGAUACCCUGGUAGUCUACGCCGUAAACGAUGAGUGCUAAGUGUUAGGGGGUUUCCGCCCCCUUAGUGCUGCAGCUAACGCAUUAAGCACUCCGCCUGGGGAUACGGCCGCAAGGCUG
rnacentral:rRNA from 1 species